rnacentral:misc_RNA from 1 species
AAGUCGUAACAAGGUUUCCGUAGGUGAACCUGCGGAAGGAUCAUUAACAUUUGUUAAUCUCCAAACCUUAUUACUAAAUGUGAACUGUACGCGUCCCUAUUCACUGCUGAUGUUGCUUUUGUAAUACUAGCAGUGCGAUAGACAAUACCCUCUUAGUAGUUACCAUACAAACUAGUAGCUCUACAGAUUAAGCAAUUAAUUUGUAUCUUCUAGAUUUAUGGUAAUGAACUAUUCACCAAUUUUCACACUAUAUUUUUGAAUUGUCUAAUCUUCAUAAAGCUUUUUUUCUCACGAGAGAAGGUUUUUACGAAACAUUGAACAACUCUUAGCAAUGGAUAUCUUGGGUCGUAUAACGAUGAAAAACGCAGC